GACGAACGCUGGCGGCGUGCUUAACACAUGCAAGUCGAACGGAAAGGCCCUGCUUUUGUGGGGUGCUCGAGUGGCGAACGGGUGAGUAACACGUGAGUAACCUGCCCUUGACUUUGGGAUAACUUCAGGAAACUGGGGCUAAUACCGGAUAGGAGCUCCUGCUGCAUGGUGGGGGUUGGAAAGUUUCGGCGGCUGGGGAUGGACUCGCGGCUUAUCAGCUUGUUGGUGGGGUAGUGGCUUACCAAGGCUUUGACUGGUAGCCGGCCUGAGAGGGUGUCCGGCCACAUUGGGACUGAGAUACGGCCCAGACUCCUACGGGAGGCAGCAGUGGGGAAUAUUGCACAAUGGGCGGAAGCCUGAUGCAGCAACGCCGCGUGCGGGAUGACGGCCUUCGGGUUGUAAACCGCUUUCGCCUGUGACGAAGCGUGAGUGACGGUAAUGGGUAAAGAAGCACCGGCUAACUACGUG
rnacentral:rRNA from 1 species